AACUACCUACGUAAAUUUUUCAUAAUUAUUUUCUUUCCAAAACCAAGAGAAUUUAUUUCCAGUCUCUCUACGUGUAGUAUUGUCAGAUUCUUUUAGUCCUCGGACUAGGAGUAGGAUGGUACUACAGAAGACGCAGACAAGGUACGGAGUUGAUUUGCAACAAAAGAAAGCCAGUGCACAAACAGUACAGCAAAUGGCUGUUUCUCUGCAGUUACGAAAGAGGGAGAAACUCGUUCGUUUUGGGUCGCAGUUCUGUUUGCGCGUGAGGAGAGAGAGAGAGAGAGAGUCGUCAAAUUUGCGCGUAUGAGUUUUCAUUUAAUUAAGGAAACACAGCCACCAACCAACCCAAUGGCAUGUUGCACUUCGUUAAUGUGGGGAGAUGUCAGGACAGUGGUACUGUCGAAAACAUAUAUCAAGUCAGUAGUGUUAACUUUUGAAAUAACAAUCGGCAUGAGAACUUUAGAAGAACUAGUAAUUACAUGUGUUUAUGGUUACUGUAUAAAAAAAAAUCACCUCUUACGUAUAUUCGUUAAAGUUUUAUAAUCUAAAAACAGAUAAGAUAUAAAUGUCAGAUAAAAUAUACAUUGCAUACAUAUACGACGAGAUAAAUUAUUAUAAAAUAAAAAAUAAAUUAAAAACUAUGAUAGUUUUAAAAAAAAUUUGUUAGUUUAAAAGAAAGAAAAAAAAAAAGAUGUAUUUUAAUUUUUUAUUGAAAAAAUAAUUUAGUGAUUAAAAAAUAUGCUCAAAUUUAGAGAUUUUUUGUUCAACAUAUGUGGGUCUCACACCUUUGAUAAGAACAAAGUGAUAUUUUUGAGAGAAAAAAAAAUAGUAUCAAGUGAAAUCUCAACUGUUGAAUUAAUUUAAAUGAAUUUAAUUAUAAAUAAAUUAUGUUUUAUAUUAUAGAUUAUUUCAUAUUCAAUUUGAAUGACUGAAAUGGCCUCACUCCAGACAUUCUCUCUGCCACUUUCUUUUUAGCAUCAUGCCGCCGCCCCCUUUCCAUUGUUCUCUUUUCACUCCCUCAUUCUCUCUCUUCUUUUUUUUUUAUUAACUUUUUAAAAAAAACAAAACAAAAAAAACAUCUUAGUAAUCCACUCCAUUACUUUUUUUUCUUUCUUUUUCUAUUAACUUACUGAGAAAUGCUAUGGGACCCCAUAACUGCACCCCAAAUGUACACCUGAUGAGGUGUCGCAUUGGGGUUGGCUGGGUGUGGGGUCCACCCAUGCUUUUCACCCCCUAAUCGCCAAGCCCAAUGCGACACCUCAUAGGUGUGCAUUGGGGUGCAAGUAUGGGGGUACCUAGCAUUACCAUUAACUUAAUAUAUGCAAUUCUAUAUCUUUCUCAAACUAAAGCCAUAAAACGCUUUAAUAAAAUAAUUAGGAAACAAUAAUUCUAUGACAUUAUUUUAAAUAGCACCAUCGAAGUAAACAACAGCUACCGAAAAACAAAAAAUAUAGGGCUGUAAAAAAUGAACUGAAUAAUAAUUUUUUCGGGGGGAGGGGGGGGGGGGGGGGGGUGUUUGGGGAAUUGUUUGUGUGGUUGUUUUUUUGUUUGUUUUUUAUAUUUUUUUUUUUUGUUUCUAUAGGCUCCGGUUGGUACCAUCUUUUCGGUGUCUUUUUCAGCUUAUAGUAAAAAAGUUAGACAUAGAAUUUUUUUGUUUAUUUGUAGUGAAGGUAGGGUCCACAAGCAAAAAACCAAGCGCUCCCCCCACCCCUCACCUCUUAAUUGUUUCUACCCCCCCACCACCACACAGUACCAAGGAGCCAAAUGCAUUAACUAUUAUUACACUGCUUGGGUGUGGGAGAACCGCGCUACCCCCUGUAGGGCGUGCCCAAGGCAGUUUUUUGUAAAUAAUUAAUGUUGCUAAUAUUUAUGCUUUUGAAUAAUUUUUAGUUUUAUAGUUUAGAUUAAUUUUUUAAUUUUUAUGGUUUUUAUCCAUGUAUAAUCAGUAAAUAUACUUGAGCGACGAAAACCGUGAAACCGAAUAGAACCAAACCGUUAUUCUCAUGAUUUGGUUUGGUCCUAUAAUUCUCAUGAUUUAGUUCUGUUUAAAAAAGCCUAAACCGUUACUCACGAUUUGAUUUACUGUUUUUUUCUAAACUGAACUAAACAAACUGUGACAGCGCCAUAUUUAAGCUAUGAAGUUGCAAUAUUUUAGAAAUUUUACAGUGAAGAAUUUAACCUAUAAAUGCAAAAGAUUAUCCAAAAAUUACCAUAAACAACUCAUAAGAAUUACAAUAACUAUCAACUUAGUAUAUAUGACGUGGGACUAAGAAUGAAUCCCAUGCGCGUCCAUAUGUGUUUUUGGUACUUUUUGAGUACUUUUUUUGGUUAUCCAACUUUUUUGUAAUUUUUAUGAUUAAUAAAGAGUACACUAAGCAAUACAAUUUGGGGAUAGAGAGAGGAGAGAUAGAGAGAGAUGUGACGGAUGACAUGAUGAAAAUGACUAACGCGGAGAAAGAAGGGAGGGUAAUUCGUCUUUUAUUUCUAGAUUCCAUGGCAA
rnacentral:lncRNA from 1 species